AGAGUUUGAUCCUGGCUCAGGAUGAACGCUAGCGGCAGGCCUAACACAUGCAAGUCGAGGGGUAACAGAGGAAAGCUUGCUUUCCUGCUGACGACCGGCGAACGGGUGCGUAACACGUAUGCAACCUACCCUUUACAGGGGGAUAGCCCUUAGAAAUGAGGAUUAAUACCCCAUAACAUUAUGAAGUCGCAUGGCUUUAUAAUUAAAACUUCGGCGGUAAAGGAUGGGCAUGCGUCCCAUUAGCUUGUUGGUAAGGUAACGGCUUACCAAGGCAACGAUGGGUAGCGGGUCUGAGAGGAUGAUCCGCCACACUGGUACUGAGACACGGACCAGACUCCUACGGGAGGCAGCAGUGAGGAAUAUUGGUCAAUGGACGAAAGUCUGAACCAGCCAUGCCGCGUGCAGGAUGACGGCCCUAUGGGUUGUAAACUGCUUUUAUAAGGGAAGAAACCCCCGGACGUGUCCGGGGCUGACGGUACCUUACGAAUAAGCACCGGCUAACUCCGUGCCAGCAGCCGCGGUAAUACGGAGGGUGCAAGCGUUAUCCGGAUUUAUUGGGUUUAAAGGGUCCGUAGGCGGGACAUUAAGUCAGUGGUGAAAGCCUACAGCUCAACUGUAGAAUUGCCAUUGAUACUGAUGUUCUUGAAUAUAAUUGAAGUUAGCGGAAUGUGUCAUGUAGCGGUGAAAUGCAUAGAGAUGACACAGAACACCGAUUGCGAAGGCAGCUAACUAAGUUAUCAUUGACGCUGAGGGACGAAAGCGUGGGGAGCGAACAGGAUUAGAUACCCUGGUAGUCCACGCUGUAAACGAUGAUUACUCGAUAUUGGCUUUUAGUCAGUGUCCAAGCGAAAGCGUUAAGUAAUCCACCUGGGGGGUACGUUCGCAAGAAUGAAACUCAAAGGAAUUGACGGGGGCCCGCACAAGCGGUGGAGCAUGUGGUUUAAUUCGAUGAUACGCGAGGAACCUUACCAGGGCUUAAAUGCAGAACGACAGAGGUGGAAACACCUCCUUCUUCGGACGGUCUGCAAGGUGCUGCAUGGUUGUCGUCAGCUCGUGCCGUGAGGUGUCGGGUUAAGUCCCAUAACGAGCGCAACCCCUAUUUCUAGUUGCCAGCGGAUAAUGCCGGGGACUCUAGAGAAACUGCCAGCGUAAGCUGUGAGGAAGGUGGGGACGACGUCAAAUCAUCACGGCCCUUACGUCCUGGGCUAUACACGUGCUACAAUGGUGGAGACAGAGAGCAGCCAACUGGCGACAGUGAGCUAAUCUUUAAACUCCAUCUCUGUUCGGAUCGAAGUCUGCAACUCGACUUCGUGAAGUUGGAAUCGCUAGUAAUCGCGUAUCAGCCAUGACGCGGUGAAUACGUUCCCGGGCCUUGUACAUA
rnacentral:rRNA from 1 species